rnacentral:rRNA from 1 species
UCGCCUGUUUAACAAAAACAUGUCUUUUUGAAUUUUUUUUAAAGUCUAGCCUGCCCACUGAAUAAUUUUAAAUGGCCGCAGUAUACUAACUGUGCAAAGGUAGCAUAAUCAUUAGUCUUUUAAUUGAAGGCUGGUAUGAAUGGUUGGACGAGAUAUUAACUGUUUCAUAAAAAUUUAUAAUAGAAUUUUAUUUUUUAGUCAAAAAGCUAAAAUAUAUUUAAAAGACGAGAAGACCCUAUAAAUCUUUAUAUUUAGGUUAUUAUAAUUUUAUAGAUUUUUUUUGUUAUAAUAAUUGAUAAUAUUUUAUUGGGGUGAUAUUAAAAUUUGAUAAACUUUUAAUUGUUUAAAUCAUUAAUUUAUGAAUAAUUGAUCCGUUAUUAGUGAUUAAAAAAAUAAGUUACUUUAGGGAUAACAGCGUAAUUUUUUUGGAGAGUUCAUAUCGAUAAAAAAGAUUGCGACCUCGAUGUUGGAUUAAGAUAUAAUUUUAGGUGUAGCCGCUUAAAUUUUAAGUCUGUUCGACUUUUAAAUUCUUACGUGAUCUGAGUUCAGACCGGA